rnacentral:rRNA from 1 species
UACGUAGGGGGCAAGCGUUGUCCGGAUUUAUUGGGCGUAAAGAGCGUGUAGGCGGCUUCACAGGUCCGCUGUGAAAACUCGAGGCUCAACCUCGAGACGCCGAUGGAAACCAUCUAACUAGAGUCCGGAAGAGGAGAGUGGAAUUCCUGGAUGUAGCGGUGAAAUGACGCAGAUAUCAGGAAGAACACCCGUGGCUAAGGCGGCUCUCUAGUACGGAUACUGGACGCUGAAGACGCGAAAGCGUGGGGAGCGAACAGG